UGCGCAGCUAAAGUAAAAUUGAAACUAAAUUCUAAAAAUUAAGUGAACUUCACUGGGGUGCUGAAAAGACAUACACGCAUUAUACCUUCGCCCAGGCCAUUGGAUUCCGUCGUUGGGCCGACGGGUUGUGAUCCUUACACAUUUUUAUUCAGCGUUAAGAUGGCCAAAGGUCCUACUCUGACUGCACAUCGGGGAUGAUUCUGACAUCAAUCAGGAUUAUCCAUCCAACACACUGACAAAUCACUGUUUGUUUAUUAGGAUCGUUAACAGGAUCAGGCCUGUUCUAAUGCCCGUAAAUUGUUAUAUUAACAGUAAAGGCUUUUAUAUGUCAUUCUGUCUGUUUAUGUUAUAAGUGCUUGAAAGUAAAAUGAUCUUCACUAUGCUUUCAGGUUCAGACGUUGUUGGAGUCCCAGUGGUCAAAGGUCUUAUUCCUACUGCAUACUAGGGAUGAUUCUGACAUGAAUCAGGAUUAUCUGUUCUACAUUGAUUUGUUGCUGUUUGUUGGUUAGGCCACGUUCAGGCCUGUUCUAAUUCGUGUGUUCAAUUGUUCUACUAACAUUGAAGGCAUUUAUAUCUCAUCAUUGAUGGUAAGUACAGAGUUCUUGUUUUGCAUGUUUUUUCCAUGCUAGACUUUAAAGGUUUGGUAUGUACAUGAUUUAUAGAGUAAAAUAUGUAAAUCUCCAAAAUGCAGAAGUACAGCAAAAUAACAAAUAUGUAUUCAUUUGGACUAGAAUGGUGCAUCCCAUUUGAUACAUGAAGCUGUAGAUUAGUCAUGUAAUGUAGACACAUUAGCAUACCACACCCCUAAUAUUAUAAAGAGUCUUGACAUGUGUUCGAUGGGUCUGCAUGCAUUUACAUGACUAUUUAUUAACACAUUUAAUAAGGGACAGUACUACAGGCUAUUAGAAUGACAUUACAUUUUUCUGUGUUAGGGAGGCGUAAACCACCAGCAACACUCUCAAAACCAGACCGGCCUGAUGAAUAUAGUGCUACUGCAUCUCCACGGCCAGGUUGGUAUAUGGACGUGUACACAUGCCGACUCUACUGUAAGAAUAUGCCUGUUCCUGAUCAGUGUUAUUGUUUUUCACCAAUUCCAUUCACUCCAGUGAGGGUUCCUUUGCCAGUACCUCCAGAGUUGCUUGAAUUAUCUACAAGCAAGACCACAUCGCCUUUGAGACCAGUGCAGGAAACUGUGUUCUGUCAGUCCCUCCUCCCAGUGACCUCUGCACAGUCUACAGCCUCUACUCCUCCCUCAGGACCCCCCGCAGUUGCUGGCCAGUCUUUCUCUGGAUUCCCUGCAGCCACUACUGGGUACCCCUCAACUCAGUUGGAGGAGAAGCAUGCUGUUCCACCACUGCCAAGCUAUGAGCAGGAUGUGAUAAGAUGGCACUGCUCUCAAAAGCAGAGAAUCUGGAUGAAAACAGAUAUGGAAGCCUUGGGACUGUGGCCAGGUUCUAGACCAGUGAGACAUCCAAUGAACAUGAUCUCCUUGUGGCGUUACCCACCUCAGCCUGAGCUUAUUGAUGUGGUCUAUGAGCUGCCAUCACCUAAAUACUUUCAACUUCAUCCAUUCUUCAUUUGGAAACCAGAGCACACCAUUAUGGAAAGAGUCCGCAACAACUACACUCUUCCAUGUCUGUACGGC
ensembl:lncRNA